rnacentral:rRNA from 1 species
AUGCCGGCGUACGAUGUGCGCUGCAGCUUGCUGGAGGAAGGACGGCUGCCGGCCGUGGCGCCACGCCUCGUGCCAAAACCCAAGAGAACCAACCCUCCGUGGGUCCGCGCAAUCAGGGCGUUCGGCAACACGGCGUGUGUACUAUUUAUUGUCUUCAUCUUGGCGUUCAUGGUUCCACGGAGCAGGGACAAGAACCACCUCCGUCUGUUCUUCAACUGCGCCAUCCCCGUGCUCCUCUCGCUUGGUUUUCCUGUCAUGGCGUAUAUCCUCACGAUGGACGUUGAUGAUCAACCUCAACCUCAGGGCGCAUGCAAUGCGUGA